UCCGGCUUCUCGCCGGCGGUCCCCUUCGAGUGCCCGACAUAACUCGCUGGCAACAAAGGGCAGGGGUUGCGCUCGUUGCGGGACUUAACCCAACACCUCACGGCACGAGCUGACGACGACCAUGCAGCACCUGUGCGGGCUCCCGUAGGAGGACCGUGUUUCCACGGCUUUUCCCGCAUAGUUCAACCCAGGUAAGGUUCUUCGCGUUGCAUCGAAUUGAGCCACACGCUCCGCCGCUUGUGCGGGCCCCCGUCAAUUCCUUUGAGUUUCAGCCUUGCGGCCGUACUCCCCAGGCGGGGCACUUAAUGCGUUAGCUUCGACACCGACGGGGUCGUUCCCUCCGGCAUCUAGUGCCCAUCGUUUACGGCGUGGACUAC
rnacentral:misc_RNA from 1 species